rnacentral:rRNA from 1 species
CAGCAGCCGCGGUAAUACGUAGGGUGCAAGCGUUGUCCGGAAUUAUUGGGCGUAAAGAGCUCGUAGGCGGUCUGUCGCGUCGGCUGUGAAAUCCCGGAGCUCAACUCCGGGUCUGCAGUCGAUACGGGCAAACUGGAGUACUGCAGGGGAGACUGGAGUUCCUGGUGUAGCGGUGAAAUGCGCAGAUAUCAGGAGGAACACCGGUGGCGAAGGCGGGUCUCUGGGCAGUAACUGACGCUGAGGAGCGAAAGCGUGGGGAGCGAACAGGAUUAGAUACCCUGGUAGUCCACGCCGUAAACGUUGGGCGCUAGGUGUGGGGCUCAUUCCACGAGUUCCGUGCCGCAGCUAACGCAUUAAGCGCCCCGCCUGGGGAGUACGGCCGCAAGGCUAAAACUCAAAGGAAUUGACGG